CCUACGGGAGGCAGCAGUGGGGAAUUUUGCACAAUGGGGGAAACCCUGAUGCAGCGACGCCGCGUGAUUUAGAAGGCCUUCGGGUUGUAAAAAUCUUUUGUAUAGGAAGAAAAUGACAGUACUAUACGAAUAAGGUCCGGCUAAUUACGUGCCAGCAGCCGCGGUAAUACGUAAGGACCGAGCGUUGUCCGGAAUCAUUGGGCGUAAAGGGUACGUAGGCGGUUUUUUAAGUUAGAAGUCAAAGGCUAUAGCUCAACUAUAGUAAGCUUCUAAAACUGGAGAACUUGAGUAAUGGAAGGGAAAGUGGAAUUCCUAGUGUAGCGGUGGAAUGCGCAGAUAUUAGGAGGAAUCCCGGUGGCGAAGGCGACUUUCUGGCCAUUAACUGACGCUGAGGUACGAAAGCGUGGGUAGCAAACAGGAUUAGAUCCCCCGGUAGU
rnacentral:rRNA from 1 species